rnacentral:rRNA from 1 species
GAUGAACGCUGGCGGCGUGCCUAAUACAUGCAAGUCGAGCGAAUGAAGAGGAGCUUGCUCCUCUGAUUUAGCGGCGGACGGGUGAGUAACACGUGGGUAAUCUGCCUGUAAGACGGGGAUAACUCCGGGAAACCGGGGCUAAUACCGGAUAAUAAGAGAAGAAGCAUUUCUUCUUUUUGAAAGUCGGUUUCGGCUGACACUUACAGAUGAGCCCGCGGCGCAUUAGCUAGUUGGUGAGGUAACGGCUCACCAAGGCGACGAUGCGUAGCCGACCUGAGAGGGUGAUCGGCCACACUGGGACUGAGACACGGCCCAGACUCCUACGGGAGGCAGCAGUAGGGAAUCUUCGGCAAUGGGCGAAAGCCUGACCGAGCAACGCCGCGUGAGCGAUGAAGGCCUUCGGGUCGUAAAGCUCUGUUGUUAGAGAAGAACAAGUACGAGAGUAACUGCUCGUACCUUGACGGUACCUAACCAGAAAGCCACGGCUAACUACGUGCCAGCAGCCGCCGUAACAC